AAUUUGGGUAAAAUUGAAUCAAAUUGAAUCCAUUUCACCAAUAAAUUAAGUAAUUCUUUAAAACUGAUGCUAGAUGUAGUACCAGCAUAACUGGCUCCUAGCGUACUUACAUGGUCUUGAAUAUGUUAAGAAAAUGCUGUUUGUUUUGAAGAGUUUCAAAACAUUCGAGAGGGAGGAAGGCACUCUCUUCCAUUGAACCUUAGUGUGUGCUUUAGUUCCAUUUUGAGUUGACUGCUUUGUGUUGCUGCCUGAUGCCUCUAGUACAAGGCCAAGGCCUCCAUGUCUUAGAUCUUUCCUGCUCCCCUCCUCUGCCAUCCCUCUUCCACUCGGUGGAAUAGCCCAGGAUCAACUCAGUCCAUGCUUGUUAAUCAACCACCUCCAUACACCACAUCCAGCAGCGCUCCCUGAGUGACUCACAGUCACCAAUCACCGGUGCACUGAUCUUUCCUGUGUCCUUCCAGGUUCUUCUGACGACAACCUGAGUUUAGUGUGCCUGCCACCAAGUGAAGUUGAUGAUUUGGAUGAUGAUGAUGAUGCCCAGAUUUCACCAUCACAUGUCCAGGCUUGGCCUGAGGAUGGCCUGUUCUUACGAUGUGCGCCACGAUGCAAAGAUGAAGAUGAUGAUGAUGAUGAUGAUGAUGAUGAUGAUGAUGCCUAUGUAAGACCCCCCUAUUUUAUCUUCUACAGCAAUGUUGUUUUCCUGAUCCCUUUACUACUCAAUUUUGAUAUGAAAAUCUGGCAGUGCACAUUAUGUACACUGUACACUAUUCUCUUUGUGGGGCUGGAGUUCAGUAGAAGUGUCUUCCCAACUGAUACACGUUACAGUAGGGUGC
rnacentral:lncRNA from 1 species